rnacentral:rRNA from 1 species
GACGAACGCUGGCGGCGUGCCUAAUACAUGCAAGUAGAACGCUGAAGGAGGAGCUUGCUUCUCUGGAUGAGUUGCGAAUGGGUGAGUAACGCGUAGGUAACCUGCCUGGUAGCGGGGGAUAACUAUUGGAAACGAUAGCUAAUACCGCAUAAGAGUAGAUGUUGCAUGACAUUUGCUUAAAAGGUGCAAUUGCAUCACUACCAGAUGGACCUGCGUUGUAUUAGCUAGUUGGUGGGGUAACGGCUCACCAAGGCGACGAUACAUAGCCGACCUGAGAGGGUGAUCGGCCACACUGGGACUGAGACACGGCCCAGACUCCUACGGGAGGCAGCAGUAGGGAAUCUUCGGCAAUGGACGGAAGUCUGACCGAGCAACGCCGCGUGAGUGAAGAAGGUUUUCGGAUCGUAAAGCUCUGUUGUAAGAGAAGAACGAGUGUGAGAGUGGAAAGUUCACACUGUGACGGUAUCUUACCAGAAAGGGACGGCUAACUACGU